CGUUUGGAUCAACAACUUCGUUAUCUGAAGACGAGAUCAAUGAGCUAGCUUUUGGGCUGGAGCAGAGUCAGCAGAGGUUUAUUUGGGUCCUGAGGGACGCAGAUAAAGGAGAUAUAUUCUCUGGUGAAGUUAGAGAACGUGAACUACCUGAAGGAUACGAGAAGAGGGUAUCGGAAAGAGGAUUUGUAAUGAGAGAUUGGGCACCGCAGUUGGAAAUUUUGGCACAUCCGUCAACUGGCGGAUUCAUGAGUCAUUGCGGAUGGAACUCUUGCAUGGAAAGUAUUUCAAUGGGAGUUCCAAUAGUAGCGUGGCCAAUGCAUUCAGAUCAACCUAGAAAUGCUUUGUUCAUAGCCGAAGGAUUGAAAAUCGGGAUAUUGAUGAGAGAGUGGGAGCGAAGAAACGAAGUUGUAUCGGCUGAAACUAUCGAAAGAGUUGUGAGAACUUUAAUGGCGUCUCCGGAGGGAGAGGAGAUGAAACGGAAUGCUACAGAGCUCAAGGAAGCAGUGAAGUUAUCAGUUAUGGAGGGUGGUGUGACUCAAAAGGAAAUGGAAUCUUUUGUUGCUCACAUCACUAGAUAGAUAUUUUUAAUGUUGAAUGAUUUGUACUUCCCUAUGUUUUUUCUUCUUCUAAUAAAUGUGAUGUAUGUGGUUGUUUGUGUCCACUUAAAAUUUUUUGUCCUGUAUGAAAGAAUAAGUACUACUCCACUUUUAUUUCAUUGAAGCAAAUUUACCCCAACAUUUCUUCCUCCUUUCCAUUCACACUCCAUCUUCCAAAAAAUGACGACCACGACAACAACAACAACAAAUUAUGUAGACCAACAAUGUCAACAACACGACGUUGUUGUUGUCGUUGUUCCUACUGCACAAGGCCAUCUUCAUGCAUCCCUCGAACUCUCUCGCUGCCUCUCCGCCACCUACAAUAUCCCGUUUACUAUGUCAGCACAACAGCUCACAUCCGUCAAGCUAAGUCGCGUGCUGUGAGAUGGGACCCAUUAGAAAUCCCAAACCUAAAGUUCAUUGAUUUCCCGGUUUCGUUCGACCUUCCUCCUCCUAAUCCUGAUGCAUCCAUAAAAUUCCCUUCACAACUUGUUCCAGCUUUCAACUCUUCUCUCCAACUACGUAAUCCUAUAACGGAUCUCGUUAAGAAACUAGCUUCGAUAUCGCGCAAUGUUGUUCAAGAUGUACCACAAAUACCUAAAACAGAAUGCUACUGUUUGCAUACUGUAUCUUCAUUUCUUAUGUUUAUGAUGCUGCUAAACCGCCUGUGCCACCUGAAGCCGAAGUUGUACUUAAACAACUCCCGCCUCUUGACGGGUGUCAUUCACCUGAAAUGGAAGAAUUUGCCCAGAAACAAGUAAAUGCAAGGGUUCCUGGAGGUGGUAAUAUUUACAGUACUUCUCGAGUUAUCGAUGAAUUAUACCUCGAUCUACUAGAGAAGAUGAAUGCUUCUAAGGAUUUUAAACAUUGGGCUGUUGGUCCAUUCAAUCCGGUAGAAAUUGAGACUACUAUCACUGUCAACCGCCACUAUUCACUCGAGUGGCUCGACAAACAACCACCGAACUCGGUGCUUUUUGUGCCGUUUGGAUCGACGACUUCGUUAUCUGAAGACGAGAUUAAUGAGCUAGCUAUUGGGUUGGAGCAGAGUCAACAGAGAUAAUCUCUGGGUCCUCAGGGACGCAGAUAAAGGAGAUAUUUUCUCUGGAGAAGUUCGAAAAUGUCAAUUGCCUGAAGGAUACGAGAAGAGGGUAUCGGAAAGAGGACUUGUUAUGAGAGAUUGGGCACCACAAUUGGAAAUUUUGGCACAUCCGUCAACUGGCGGAUUCAUGAGUCAUUGCGGGUGGAAUUC
rnacentral:lncRNA from 1 species